CUGGACACAAAAAUGAAUGACAGUGUAGGUUGUAGAUACUGGUUUAGGUAAUAGCUGCUUGCUACUGCCCAGGUCCUGCAUUUAGUUAUCUUCAGGGUUUCAGGGUGCUGGAGAGUACCCAGUGAAAUGACCAACCCUCAUAUUACAGGGUUCUUUUUUUUUUCUUUUCUAGUGCAAAAUCCCACUCCAUCAAAAAAUUAAGCUGUUAAAAGGCCCUUGUCUGCUGUACAUAAUAUGCAUCUGACAGUGCUACAUUUGCUCCCUUGGACAACCAGGUGACCCCGUCCAAGGUUAAGCAUGAAUCCCCGAGGAAGAGCUAUGCACUAUGCUCCACAACAGGAGCAACGCCUCUCUGUGACUUGAGUGAAGGUAAGAGCUUUAUUAUUUCACACGCUCUGUGCAUGGGUUCACCACAUACACCCCUCUCUUUCUCAUAAACUCACUGCAUGCUGAGCAGCAAAAAGGAAAAGUUAAGUGGAAA
rnacentral:lncRNA from 1 species